AUACGGAGGGUGCAAGCGUUACUCGGAAUCACUGGGCGUAAAGCGCGCGCAGGCGGCUUGAUAAGUUGGAUGUGAAAGCCUACGGCUCAACCGUAGAACUGCAUCCAAAACUGUCAGGCUAGAGUGUGGGAGAGGAAGAUGGAAUUAGUUGUGUAGGGGUAAAAUCCGUAGAGAUAACUAGGAUUACCAAAAGCGAAGGCAAUCUUCUGGAACACUACUGACGCUGAGGCGCGAAGGCGUGGGGAGCAAACAGGAUUAGAAACCCUAGUAGUCC
rnacentral:rRNA from 1 species